AGAGUUUGAUCAUGGCUCAGAACGAACGCUGGCGGCAUGCCUAACACAUGCAAGUCGAACGCUCACUUGGGUUUCGGCCCUUGUGGGAGUGGCGCACGGGUGAGUAGCGCGUGGGAACCUGCCCUGUUGUGGGGGAUAACCGAGGGAAACUUCGGCUAAUACCGCAUGCGCCCCGGAGCGAUCCGGGGGAAAGAUUUAUCGCAGCAGGAGGGGCCCGCGUCGGAUUAGCUAGUUGGUGGGGUAACGGCCUACCAAGGCACCGAUCCGUAGCUGGUCUGAGAGGAUGAUCAGCCACACUGGGACUGAGACACGGCCCAGACUCCUACGGGAGGCAGCAGUGGGGAAUAUUGGACAAUGGGCGCAAGCCUGAUCCAGCAAUGCCGCGUGAGUGAUGAAGGCCUUAGGGUUGUAAAGCUCUUUCGCCCGCGACGAUGAUGACGGUAGCGGGAGAAGAAGCCCCGGCUAACUUCGUGCCAGCAGCCGCGGUAAUACGAAGGGGGCGAGCGUUGUUCGGAUUUACUGGGCGUAAAGGGCGCGUAGGCGGCGCCGGAAGUCGAGUGUGAAAGCCCCGGGCUCAACCUGGGAGGUGCGCUCGAGACUCUGGUGCUGGAGUUCGGGAGAGGAGCGUGGAAUUCCCAGUGUAGAGGUGAAAUUCGUAGAUAUUGGGAAGAACACCGGUGGCGAAGGCGGCGCUCUGGACCGAGACUGACGCUGAGGCGCGAAGGCGUGGGGAGCAAACAGGAUUAGAUACCCCCGUAGUCC
rnacentral:rRNA from 1 species